CCAGACAAGUUCAAGCAAGCUCAUUCAUGGCAUCAAAACAAGCAUCAACUUCAACCAAUCAUAAAACAGCAAUCAAACAUGAUAAAUGAAUGAGACCAAAGCCAAAAUUCUCUUCAAGAUGUCUACAAUACACAUGCCAAAUUUCACAUCCAUCCAAUUAAUAAACAGAAUUUCACAAAGCAAAUACAAACAUGUAUCACAAAAAAU
rnacentral:lncRNA from 1 species